rnacentral:rRNA from 1 species
UAGGUGAACCUGCGGAGGGAUCAUUACACAAAUAUGAAGGCGGGCUGGAACCUCUCGGGGUUACAGCCUUGCUGAAUUAUUCACCCUUGUCUUUUGCGUACUUCUUGUUUCCUUGGUGGGUUCGCCCACCACUAGGACAAACAUAAACCUUUUGUAAUUGCAAUCAGCGUCAGUAACAAAUUAAUAAUUACAACUUUCAACAACGGAUCUCUUGGUUCUGGCAUCGAUGAAGAACGCAGCGAAAUGCGAUAAGUAGUGUGAAUUGCAGAAUUCAGUGAAUCAUCGAAUCUUUGAACGCACAUUGCGCCCUUUGGUAUUCCAAAGGGCAUGCCUGUUCGAGCGUCAUUUGUACCCUCAAGCUUUGCUUGGUGUUGGGCGUCUUGUCUCUAGCUUUGCUGGAGACUCGCCUUAAAGUAAUUGGCAGCCGGCCUACUGGUUUCGGAGCGCAGCACAAGUCGCACUCUCUAUCAGCAAAGGUCUAGCAUCCAUUAAGCCUUUUUUUCAACUUUUGACCUCGGAUCAGGUAGGGAUACCCGCUGAACUUAAGCAUAUCAAUAAGCGGAGGA